UAGGGAAUCUUCGGCAAUGGACGAAAGUCUGACCGAGCAACGCCGCGUGAGUGAAGAAGGUUUUCGGAUCGUAAAACUCUGUUGUUAGAGAAGAACAAGGACGUUAGUAACUGAACGUCCCCUGACGGUAUCUAACCAGAAAGCCACGGCUAACUACGUGCCAGCAGCCGCGGUAAUACGUAGGUGGCAAGCGUUGUCCGGAUUUAUUGGGCGUAAAGCGAGCGCAGGCGGUUUCUUAAGUCUGAUGUGAAAGCCCCCGGCUCAACCGGGGAGGGUAAUUGGAAACUGGGAGACUGGGGUGCAGAAGAGGAGAGUGGAAUUCCAUGUGUAGCGGUGAAAUGCGUAGAUAUAUGGAGGAACACCAGUGGCGAAGGCGGCUCUCUGGUCUGUAACUGACGCUGAGGCUCGAAAGCGUGGGGAGCAAACAGG
rnacentral:rRNA from 1 species